rnacentral:rRNA from 1 species
GAUGAACGCUGGCGGCGUGCUUAACACAUGCAAGUCGAACGAAGAAGGUUAGAAUGAGAGCUUCGGCAGGAUUUCUUUCCAUCUUAGUGGCGGACGGGUGAGUAACGUGUGGGCAACCUGCCCUGUACUGGGGAAUAAUCAUUGGAAACAAUGACUAAUACCGCAUGUGGUUCUCAGAAGGCAUCUUCUGAGGAAGAAAGGAUUUAUUCGGUACAGGAUGGGCCCGCAUCUGAUUAGCUAGUUGGUGAGAUAACAGCCCACCAAGGCGACGAUCAGUAGCCGACCUGAGAGGGUGAUCGGCCACAUUGGGACUGAGACACGGCCCAA